rnacentral:rRNA from 1 species
AUUGAACGCUGGCGGCAUGCCUUACACAUGCAAGUCGAACGGCAGCAUAGGAGCUUGCUCCUGAUGGCGAGUGGCGAACGGGUGAGUAAUAUAUCGGAACGUGCCCUAGAGUGGGGGAUAACUAGCCGAAAGACUAGCUAAUACCGCAUACGAUCUACGGAUGAAAGUGGGGGAUCGCAAGACCUCAUGCUCCUGGAGAGGCCGAUAUCUGAUUAGCUAGUUGGUGGGGUAAAAGCCUACCAAGGCGACGAUCAGUAGCUGGUCUGAGAGGACGACCAGCCACACUGGGACUGAGACACGGCCCAGACUCCUACGGGAGGCAGCAGUGGGGAAUUUUGGACAAUGGGGGCAACCCUGAUCCAGCAAUGCCGCGUGAGUGAAGAAGGCCUUCGGGUUGUAAAGCUCUUUUGUCAGGGAAGAAACGGUAGUAGCUAAUAUCUACUACUAAUGACGGUACCUGAAGAAUAAGCACCGGCUAACUACGUGCCAGCCGCCGCUGUAACAC